UGCAAGUCGAGCGGACAGAUGGGAGCUUGCUCCCUGAUGUUAGCGGCGGACGGGUGAGUAACACGUGGGUAACCUGCCUGUAAGACUGGGAUAACUCCGGGAAACCGGGGCUAAUACCGGAUGGUUGUUUGAACCGCAUGGUUCAGACAUAAAAGGUGGCUUCGGCUACCACUUACAGAUGGACCCGCGGCGCAUUAGCUAGUUGGUGAGGUAACGGCUCACCAAGGCGACGAUGCGUAGCCGACCUGAGAGGGUGAUCGGCCACACUGGGACUGAGACACGGCCCAGACUCCUACGGGAGGCAGCAGUAGGGAAUCUUCCGCAAUGGACGAAAGUCUGACGGAGCAACGCCGCGUGAGUGAUGAAGGUUUUCGGAUCGUAAAGCUCUGUUGUUAGGGAAGAACAAGUGCCGUUCAAAUAGGGCGGCACCUUGACGGUACCUAACCAGAAAGCCACGGCUAACUACGUGCCAGCAGCCGCGGUAAUACGUAGGUGGCAAGCGUUGUCCGGAAUUAUUGGGCGUAAAGGGCUCGCAGGCGGUUUCUUAAGUCUGAUGUGAAAGCCCCCGGCUCAACCGGGGAGGGUCAUUGGAAACUGGGGAACUUGAGUGCAGAAGAGGAGAGUGGAAUUCCACGUGUAGCGGUGAAAUGCGUAGAGAUGUGGAGGAACACCAGUGGCGAAGGCGACUCUCUGGUCUGUAACUGACGCUGAGGAGCGAAAGCGUGGGGAGCGAACAGGAUUAGAUACCCUGGUAGUCCACGCCGUAAACGAUGAGUGCUAAGUGUUAGGGGGGUUUCCGCCCCUUAGUGCUGCAGCUAACGCAUUAAGCACUCCGCCUGGGGAGUACGGUCGCAA
rnacentral:rRNA from 1 species